rnacentral:rRNA from 1 species
GAUGAACGCUGGCGGCGUGCCUAAUACAUGCAAGUCGAGCGAACAGAUGAGGAGCUUGCUCCUCUGACGUUAGCGGCGGACGGGAGAGUAACACGUGGAUAACCUACCUAUAAGACUGGGAUAACUUCGGGAAACCGGAGCUAAUACCGGAUAAUAUAUUGAACCGCAUGGUUCAAUAGUGAAAGACGGUUUUGCUGUCACUUAUAGAUGGAUCCGCGCCGCAUUAGCUAGUUGGUAAGGUAACGGCUUACCAAGGCGACGAUGCGUAGCCGACCUGAGAGGGUGAUCGGCCACACUGGAGCUGAGACGCGGUCCAGACUCCUGCGAGAGGCAGCAGUAGGGAAUCUUCCGCAGUGAGCGGAAGCCUGCCGGAGCAACGCCGCGAGAGUGAUGAAGAUCUACGGAGCGUGAAACUCUGUUAUUAGGGAGGAACAAAUGUGUAAGUAACUAGGCACGUCUUGAAGGUACCGAAUCAGAAAGCCACGGCUAACUACGUG